rnacentral:lncRNA from 8 species
ACUGAUAUCCCCCCUAAUAACAUUACUGAUAUCAUUCCUAUCCCCCACCUCCCUAAUAACAACACGGCUACCCAGACACCUGGGGAGGGAGAGGGGAGGGGUUGAAUCUCAUAACCUGUUCUGUUGGGUAUUCCUUAAAACAACGGUCUGAAG